GAUGAACGCUGGCGGCGUGCCUUAUACAUGCAAGUCGAGUGGGUUUAGACCCACGGCAAACGGGUGAGUAACACAUAGGUACUUUCCUUGUCACAGGAAUAACCCUCCGAAAGGAGGGCUAAUACCUGAUGUGAUCGCAAGAUUAAAGGGUAUCCACAAGGAUUACCGGACAAGAAGAGGCCUGCGGCCUAUCAGCUAGUUGGCGGGGUAAAUGCCCACCAAGGCUAUGACGGGUAGCUGGUCUUAUGAGGAUGAUCAGUCACAUGGGCACUGAGACACGGGCCCAACUCCUACGGGAGGCAGCAGUAGGGAAUUUUGCGCAAUGGGCGAAAGCCUGACGCAGCGACGCCGCGUGCGGGAUGAAGGCCUUCGGGUCGUAAACCGCUUUUAUAAGGGACGAACUUUGACGGUACCUUAUGAAUAAGAGGUUGCUAACUCUGUG
rnacentral:rRNA from 1 species